UAUUGCACAAUGGGCGCAAGCCUGAUGCAGCCCUACCGCGUGUAUGAAGAAGGCCUUCGGGUUGGAAAGUACUUUCAGCUGUGAGGAAGGGGUAACGUUGAAUAGACGUUAUUCUUUACGUUAGCUGCAGAAGAAGUACCGGCUAACUCCGUGCCAGCAGCCGCGGUAAUACGGAGGGUGCGAGCGUUAAUCGGAAUUACUGGGCGUAAAGCGCAUGCAGGUGGUCUGUUAAGUCAGAUGUGAAAGCCCGAGGCUUAACCUCGGAAUUGCAUUUGAAACUGGCAGGCUAGAGUACUGUAGAGGGGGGUAGAAUUUCAGGUGUAGCGGUGAAAUGCGUAGAGAUCUGAAGGAAUACCAGUGGCGAAGGCGGCCCCCUGGACAGAUACUGACACUCAGAUGCGAAAGCGUGGGGAGCAAACAG
rnacentral:rRNA from 1 species